rnacentral:rRNA from 1 species
UGGCGAACGGGUGGGUAACGCGUGAGGAACCUGCCUCAAAGAGGGGGACAACAGUUGGAAACGACUGCUAAUACCGCAUAAGCCCACGACCCGGCAUCGGGAAGAGGGAAAAGGAGCAAUCCGCUUUGAGAUGGCCUCGCGUCCGAUUAGCUAGUUGGUGAGGUAACGGCCCACCAAGGCGACGAUCGGUAGCCGGACUGAGAGGUUGAACGGCCACAUUGGGACUGAGACACGGCCCAG